UGUUCGAGCGUCAUUAUAACCACUCAAGCCUGGCUUGGUAUUGGAGUUCGCUAUCGGCGUCUCCUAAAAUCAGUGGCGGUGCCUGUCGGCUCUACGCGUAGUAAUACUUCUCGCUAUAGAGUUCCGGCAGGUUACUUGCCAGCAACCCCCAAUUUUUUCAGGUUGACCUCGGAUCAGGUAGGGAUACCCGCUGAACUUAA
rnacentral:misc_RNA from 1 species